CUAAACCCCAGUAAACGGCGGCUGUAACUUGACGGUCCUAAGGUAGCGAAAUUCCUUGGCAUUUAAUUGGUGUCCUGCAUGAAUGGCGUAACGACUGUCCCACUGUCUCCAGCACAAACUCAGCGAAAUUGAAUUUUCCGUGAAGAUGCGGAAUACUUGCGGCCAGACGGAAAGACCCUGUGCACUUUUACUACAGUUAUACAUUGUGCUAAAAAAUUUUAUGUGUAGCAUAAGUGGUUGUUGUUUUGAUUAAGUAAAUAAUGAAAGUAACCUUUCACGUAAGUGAAUAGAUUAAACUAAAAUGAAAUACCACUCUUAAAAGUUUUUAUCACUAAUUUGUCAAGACAGUUUAUAAUGGGUAGUUUGACUGGGGCGGUCGCCUCCAAAAAAG
rnacentral:rRNA from 11 species